rnacentral:rRNA from 1 species
GACGAACGCUGGCGGCGUGCUUAACACAUGCAAGUCGAACGGAAAGGCCCUGCUUUUGUGGGGUGCUCAAGUGGCGAACGGGUGAGUAACACGUGAGUAACCUGCCCUUGACUUUGGGAUAACUUCAGGAAACUGGGGCUAAUACCGGAUAGGAGCUCCUGCUGCAUGGUGGGGGUUGGAAAGUUUCGGCGGUUGGGGAUGGACUCGCGGCUUAUCAGCUUGUUGGUGGGGUAGUGGCUUACCAAGGCUUUGACGAGUAGCCGGCCUGAGAGGGUGACCGGCCACAUUGGGACUGAGAUACGGCCCAGACUCCUACGGGAGGCAGCAGUGGGGAAUAUUGCACAAUGGGCGGAAGCCUGAUGCAGCAACGCCGCGUGCGGGAUGACGGCCUUCGGGUUGUAAACCGCUUUCGCCUGUGACGAAGCGUGAGUGACGGUAAUGGGUAAAGAAGCACCGGCUAACUACGUG